CGAGCGGAAGGCCCCUUCGGGGGUACUCGAGCGGCGAACGGGUGAGUAACACGUGAGCAACCUGCCCCCGACUCUGGGAUAAGCCUGGGAAACCGGGUCUAAUACCGGAUAUGACCUCCCGCCGCAUGGCGGGUGGUGGAAAGUUUUUUCGGUCGGGGAUGGGCUCGCGGCCUAUCAGCUUGUUGGUGGGGUGAUGGCCUACCAAGGCGACGACGGGUAGCCGGCCUGAGAGGGCGACCGGCCACACUGGGACUGAGACACGGCCCAGACUCCUACGGGAGGCAGCAGUGGGGAAUAUUGCGCAAUGGGCGGAAGCCUGACGCAGCGACGCCGCGUGGGGGAUGAAGGCCUUCGGGUUGUAAACCUCUUUCAGCACCGACGAAUUUUGGACGGUAGGUGCAGAAGAAGCGCCGGCUAACUACGUGCCAGCAGCCGCGGUAAUACGUAGGGCGCAAGCGUUGUCCGGAAUUAUUGGGCGUAAAGAGCUCGUAGGCGGCCUGUCGCGUCCGUCGUGAAAGCCCACGGCUCAACCGUGGGUCUGCGGUGGAUACGGGCAGGCUAGAGGCAGGUAGGGGAGAACGGAAUUCCCGGUGUAGCGGUGAAAUGCGCAGAUAUCGGGAGGAACACCGGUGGCGAAGGCGGUUCUCUGGGCCUGUUCUGACGCUGAGGAG
rnacentral:rRNA from 1 species